rnacentral:tRNA from 1 species
UAGCUUAAUCGGUUAGGGCGUCGUACUUAUAAUGCGGAGGUUGAGAGUUCGAGCCUCUC